GUGGGGAAUAUUCCGCAAUGGACGAAAGUCUGACGGAGCAACGCCGCGUGAGUGAUGAAGGUUUUCGGACUGUAAAGCUCUGUUGUUUAGGACGAAAGUGCCUGUUGCGAAUAGUUACAGGUAUUGACGGUACUGAACGAGGAAGCCACGGCUAACUACGUGCCAGCAGCCGCGGUAAUACGUAGGUGGCAAGCGUUGUCCGGAAUUAUUGGGCGUAAAGAGCAUGUAGGCGGGAAUCUAAGUCUGUUGUGAAAAUGCGGGGCUCAACCCCGUAUUGCGAUGGAAACUGGGUUUCUUGAGUGCAGGAGAGGAAAGGGGAAUUCCCAGUGUAGCGGUGAAAUGCGUAGAUAUUGGGAGGAACACCAGUGGCGAAGGCGCCUUUCUGGACUGUGUCUGACGCUGAGAUGCGAAAGCCAGGGUAGCGAACGGGAUUAGAUACCCCGGUAGUCC
rnacentral:rRNA from 1 species